ACCCAGCUGACGAGUCCCAAAUAGGACGAAACGCGCGUCCUGGAU
rfam:Schistosoma mansoni, Puerto Rico, WGS project CABG01000000 data, contig: 0032